GAAGAGGUUGAAGAAAGGUGAUAAGAUUUUCAUGGUGAGCCUUGGAGCUGGAUUCAUGUGCAACAACUGUGUGUGGGAAGUAAUGAAGGAUGGUUUGGAUGAUACUAGGGUUUGGGAAGAUUGCAUUGAUGAGUACCCUAGAAAAAACCUGGUCAAUCCUUUCACUGAGAAGUAUAGUUGGAUUAAUGAUGAGAUCUUGAACUUUGUCAGGCUUGACUAGGGAAGGUUUUAUUAACAAUUUACUUUUUGAAUUAUACCCUUUUUUUAAAUAUUAUUUUGUUUUAAAUUAUCUCAAAAAUUACUAAAGAGGGUGAUGUCACUGAAUCAGAAAAAUGUUUGAAUGUCAAAAUUAUGAUAGCAAUUUGUAGGUUGUGCCCAUGUGAUAAUUUAAGUGGGUGUAUGUAUAGUUGUGUGACUUUAAAAGCUUAAUAGUGAUAUUAAGCCACAGUAAACCAUGUGAGACCAUAGAAGCUAGUGAGUUGCAAUUGGUUGUCCAUGGCAAAUAUGAAAGACAUCUCUUGUGCUUAUAAAUUCAUGUUAAGUUUUGACACUUUUUGUACUUUUUUUUUUUGGUGGAUAAAGGAUUGAUUUUUAUUAUUAAAUAGAUUAAUUUAAUUCAUAUAUUAUUAAAAAGAAUUAAAUAAGAUUAAAUUGUAGUAAAGUUAACAUUUGCUGUUUAAAAAAUAACAUAAUUAUUAUUUUUUUGUAAUUUAACUACAAACAAAGAUUUUAUUUGCAAUAGGGUUGAGCAAGAAAAUCUGAGAUACAAUAAAAACAAAAACUCAAAUCGAGGUGUUUAAACAAUUAAUGAAAAAUAAAUUAAAAAUUUGCGAUUAAAUAAACCAAACCAAAUUCUAUUUAAUUUAUAAUUAAAUUAUUUUUUAUGAUGCAAAAAAUAUUUUAUAUUUAAAAUAACGAAAAUAAUUUAAAUUUUCUAUAUAAAAGUUACUGAUUUUUUUUAUUUGCUUCAAAAAUUAUUAUUUUUUAGAAAUACUCAUAAAAAGGACUUUGGAAUUUUAUCAAUUAAUGUUUUAAUAUCAUAAAACAAAACUCAUUUUUUUUAAAAAUAAGUCAAAAAACCCAAAACUCAAAAAUAGCAUGAAAAACUAAGAAUGGAACCGAACUAUAAUGGAUGAUUCAAAAAAUCCGAAAUACUCAAUUGAACCGAGCCGAACUUACUCCGAAUUUACUGAACCAUUAAAAAAAUUUAAAAUACCAACUCUCUUAAAAAGUAAAUUAUAUAUUUUUUAAAACAAUAAAUGUUAACUCCUUUAAAAUUUGACCUCAUUUUGAUUCUUUUUAAUAGUAGAAUGACUAAAUUGACCCAUUUUAAUAGUAGAGGAAUUAAUUUUAUCAAAACCCUAUAAUAGAGGGACUUGUUAAAUACAUGACUAAUAUAUUAAAAAAACCCUUAAACUAUUUUUGUACUUAAUUAAGCUCCUAUCCUAUUAUUUUUAUCCAUAAAAGUCAUUGAUUUUAAUAUUAAAGUACAAUUAUUUUGACUUUUUAAACUAAUUUGCAUUUUAUGCUGAUAUGAUGUGAAUAUGACGAGAAUAAUUUAUUAAAUAAAAAUAAAAUAGUAGUUUAUUUUUUAGUUUUCUUCAUGUUUAUUUUACGACCCAUGUUCAGGAUUUGUGACUGCUCUUCCCAACAAUUUCGUCUCCAAGGUUUGAACCUAUAUCUCCUCUUGGAAGUACAAUGUACCUUACCAUUACACCUAAUACUUAUCAAUAUAAAAUAAUAAUUUUGAAAGUAAAAUAAAAUGUUAUUUUAAAUUUUCUUGAAAAUACUUAAAUAUAGAUAUAACACAUUUAAUCACUUUUUUCUAAAACUUACACCCUUUUUUAAAUUUUGCAAAAACAUAUUUUUCAUAAGGUCAUUUUCAAAUGUUUUGUAGAGUAAUUGCAUCAAUUAUAUAAUUUUUUUUUAAAAAAAUUAAAAGUAAUAUUUUAUAUUUUUUUUGUAGGGGACCUCACAGUAACAGAAGUAGAUUUCUUUCUUAGGGUGAGUUUGGAUGGACGGUGCGUUUACCUGCGGUUAGUGUAAAAACAGCGGUGGCGGUAAGUUAGAGACUAUAGCGAUACUGUAGCGUGUGACAAAAAGUAAGCUAAACACACCACACAAUACCUAAUCGCCCAUCCAAACCCACCCUUAGGUAUUAAAUCAUGGUGUCAUAUCUCAAAUUUCUAAUUGAUAAUAUUGUAAAAUUAUAGUAAAAUUGAGUUUCUGACCUAGUGAUUAAGAGUCAGUGAAAUUAUCUUUGAGAUUUGAGGUUGAUUCUCUUCACUUACAAAUUCUUUUUCUUUUAAAGCCUGUGUCGUCCACCCCUAGCUAGCAAAUUGUUAGAUUUUAGUCUGACUCAAACACUUUCAUUUUUUUUCUCUUCUUUUCCCCUGUUGUCAUCCCCUUCCAUUCUAUUUCCUCUCAAUUUUCCUUUCUUUUCUCCCUUUUUCUUCCCUUUUUUUCUCUUCACCCGUGUGCCACCCCUUUGUGUUCUCUUCUUCUUUUUCUUUUCUUCUUGCCGAAUUACUAAUUACUUUGGCUGAAUUCCUAAAGCAACUGUGCUAAGUUUUUUGAAAAUUUGAUCAAAAUAGCGAUUUUUAGACCAAACGUUUUUAGUUGAUCAUUCUGGUGGCUAAUGUAACCUUCAAGAUUUGGCUAUAAUAUCUAGGCUGGAUUUGGGAGGUUAUACCUGAAGUUAACAUUGUUGAAAGGAUUUUACUUAAAUAUCACCUUUGAUCCAAAUAAAACUAAACUAAUAUCGUAAAACGAAUAAAAACACUUAUAAUUUAAAAAUAAUAAUGAUAACACUUUCAAAUAAUGAACCGAUAAGAAAAAUUGGUUGGGAUUUGUCAACGUUGAUAGUACUGCAAACACCGUUUACAUGCGUUUAAAAUCAAAGAAUGACAAAAUCAAUUAAUUUAUUAAAUUGAUAGAACCCAUCUCUAAGCUUGCGGUUCUUUUAUUGCUCAUGAGUUUGAUGAGUUUUUUUUUUUAGUCUUAUAUUUUAGUCAAUUUCUCUUAAAUAUUCAAUAGACGUUUAAACUUAGAUGAAUCAACAAUGUCUUUACUCUCUUACCACCAAUUUUUUUUAAUUAUAUUGAGUUUUUUUUAUCAUUUAUACCAAUUGAAAUUGUCGGAAAUUUAUAGGGAUAAACUAUAGUCAAGUCACUAAAUUAUUAAUAAGUUUAUGUUUUUGUUAUUCAACUUUAAAACGUUACAUAACGGUACUUGAACUUUUGAAAGUUUUCAUUGAAAUUAUUGAACUAUUCAAAAGUUUUUGUUUAAGUCACGAGGCUUCUAAGGGUUUUGUUUUAAGAGAGAGCUCCAAAUGACGAUUUGAUGAUCGGUAUGGUGAAUCAAUACCCAUUGACAAGUAGAAGAACAUGCCCUAGAUCCAAGUCGAUCUAUUAAUUAGUGUCGGAGAUCGGAGAAGAAAACUGUUUGGAUUUUGAUUUAUAGAUUUGUAAUGUUCAAAGUUGUUUUAUGAAAAAGAAAACUAAAUUGUAGAAGAUAAGAGGAAGAAGAGCUUCUGAUUGUUGCAGGCAGCGCGAACAUAGAAGGAACAACUCAGUGACUUAAAUGAAAGUUGCAAAUAGUUAACGGACCAUUUUAUAAUUUUUUAAAGUUGAGUGAUCGAAACAUAAACUUACUAAUACUUUAGUGACCUUAAAUGUAGUUUAUCCAAUUUAUAAUCGAAUUAGAUCUUUCUCUAUUAUCAACUAAAUCAAUUCAUAUUGAUGAAUCAAUAUUACAGAUUUGGGAUAUUAGAAAACAUGACACAAUGAUCCGAAACGGACUAAGAAGUACCUUUGAUAUAUGUAAACCCUAUAUGCCCAUAUUUAUUUUAUCUAAAUAAAAUUAUUGUUUUUAAAAAAAAUUAUUAUUAAUAACAAUCAUGGACAAUAAUAAUACAAAAACAUGAGAUAUAGUAAAAACAAAUAAAUAAAUCAUUAUAAAAAUACAAAAAUAUCAUGCCUUCAGAAUAAUCUAAAACAAAAAGAACAAAUUGAUAGCAAUUGCAAUACUCAAAUAAUUCAGAAAUAAACUAGAAAUGUAUCAACUUGAUCAAACCGCUGAAAUUUUCAUCCUAAUCUUGUCAUCAUCAAAUCAACAUGAUGAUUAACACCGCUCAACUAAGAAAAUUUUGUCAAAAGCCUCAAGACAUCCACUGCAUUUGUGAUGCACAAAAGACAAGUCACAGAUUGUCUAUCAUCAUUAUCAUCUCGAAUCUAUCAUCGUCACUAUAAUCUAUUAUGAUAAAAACCCUUCGAGAACGAUUCCUAAUAGAUUUGACCGCACCCUUAUAUUAGCAAAUCUCAUAUAUACACCAAAAUAUGAUUAAAAAUUAAAAGUAAAAAAUAAAAUAUCUACUUUCAAGGAAAACAAAUUAGAUAAAACAAAAACCACAAAAUUAACGUGUAUUGAAAUUAAAAACAAAACAAAAUUAAAAAAAGAAUGUUGAAGAACCGCUACUAGCUCGAAAGCUAACGUUGAAGAAAUAAAAAAAUAUUUUAUUUUUUCUUUAUGCAUAAUUAUUUAUUAAAUAAAAUUAUUAUUUAACUACAAUUUAAAAAACUUGUGAUGCAUACUACAAAGAAAUUUAUGGUGUAAAUUUUUUUUUAACACCUUUUAUGGAGACUGUCCUGUAAGGAUUUCCCAAUUAUAAAUCAUAUGCUAUUUGACAUCAAAUAUGGGAUUGAAAAAUAUAACAUAAGUAUCAUAAUUAGCAUGAUAAAUUAUUAUGGAUGGAUAUAAAGCUUUUUGCACUGCAAAAUUUCUAUUUCCAACCUCUAAAAAUUAGAACAUAUGAAGACAUGUUUAUACUAUUCCUUUUAUGAAGAUUUUCAUUAAAUUAUUUAUAUAUAUAUAUAUAUAACAUUAUGAAUUUUGUUUUAAAGGUUUCAUUAUUUGAUAUUUUUUAAUUAAAUUAAUAUCUUAUUUAUUCGUGACAUGAAAUUAAUAAAAUAAAUAAAUAAUAAUAUAAAUAUAAUAGCAUUCCCAAUUAAUUGAUGUUCAACAAUAUUUCUUAAUAAGAUGUUAACAUUUUUAAUGAUGUUCAUAAAACUAUACACUUUUAAUGCAUAUAUAAAUAUUUUUUUAUAUUUUUUUAACAUUAAUCUCAUUACAUGUUUUUAUCAUAUAUGCUCUUUUUGAUACAAUGUUUAGAACUACUCAUAGCCCCUCCCUAACUGUUAAAUAGGAUGAUAAUAUGUUUCAGCACAUUCGAACCCACGUCCUUCACUGACAAUAAUAUCAAUACCAAUUGAGCUAAAACUUAAUCAACAUUUUUACCUCAACAUAAUUCAAUUCUAGCUUGGCCUGAAAUUAAAUAUUAAUUUAUCUAUCUCGAAUUCGACUUGAAAAAUUAAAGUUAUACUCAAAUCCGACCCGACGUAAUAUGCUACAAUUUUUUUUUUUACAUUUUAUCAUAGUAGAAUAAUAAUUUUAUUAUUUUUAAUAAUACUAUUAAUUAUUUUUAAGUACAAUUAUAUUAGGGCAAAUAUUAAUAUAAAUUUUAUUAUAUAUUUUAAAUUAACAUUAUAUAUAUAAAAGAGGACUUGAUUAAUUAAAAAAUUGGUACUUGAAGCGGGCAGGUUUUCCCUAAACCGGACUUGAUUAAUUAAAAAAUUAAAUCCGUCUCCAAACCCGAUUUCAAAAAUAAAAAUUCCCAACCCCUAUAGGAUCGGGUCAGUUUGCAACCUGUCGGGUACAGGUUUUUCCAUCCGAAUAACCCAAUUGAAGACUAUAAAUAGACAGAUCUUGAUCUCAUAUACAAACAUCCCAUCACCAUCGCAUUCUCUAAGCUUUUCAAUGGAGUUUUUAAUGAAAAUAUGUCUCCUAUUCCUUUGUAGCUUCAUUUCCUACUUUGUUAACAUGUUUUUUCAGAAGAGAAAUCAACAUUGCUAUAUGUUGGGUUACGAGUGUUUCAAGGCUGCCGGUGAUAGAAAGCUCGAUACUGAUGCUUGUGUGAGAGUUGUGAUGAGGAACAAGAAGCUUGGUCUGGACCAAUACAGGUUUCUUUUAAAAACCAUUGUUAGUUCUGGUCUUGGUGAAGAAACUUAUGGUCCAAGGAAUGUUGUUGAUGGUAGAGAAGAAUUUCCUUCGGAAAACGAUGCACAUGCCGAGAUGGAUGAGAUCAUGUUCAGCACUCUCGAUAAUCUAUUCGAGAAAACGGGAGUUUACCCGUCAGAAAUCGACAUACUCGUCAUCAAUAUCUCGUUGUUUUCACCUGCACCGUCGUUAACAUCCCGGAUUAUAAACAGGUACAAGAUGGUUGCAAUCGAUCUGGUGAAGCAGUUGUUCAAGACAUACAAGAACCAGUUCGCCAUCGUUGUGAGCACCGAAUCAAUCGCUAGGCAUUGGUACUGCGGCAAAGAGAAAUCGAUGAUGUUAUCGAAUUGCCUGUUCCGUAACGGAGGGUGGUCGAUCCUCUUAACAAACAAAAGGGGUUUGAAGGAUCGAUGCUUGUUGAAGUUAAAGUGUACCGUAAGACCCAAUAUAGGAUACGAUGACGAAGCAUUUGGAUGUUGCAUACAGGUUGAAGAUCCAUAAGGCUACCAAGGUUUCCGCCUUACUAAAAGCAUAAUAAAAGCUGUUACUAAAGCUUUUACAGAGAAUUCCAAGCUCCUAUUGCCAAAAAUAUUACCAGUUUCGGAACUGCUUCGAUAUGCAAUAUCAACUCUCGGGAAAAAAUCAACCGAAGUAAGUUUCGAUUUAAAUCUCAAGUCUGAGGUUGAUUAUUUUUGUUUCCAUCCAGGUGGAAAGGCAUUGAUUGAUAGACUUGGGAAGAGUUUGGGACUUAGUGAAUAUGACUUAGAGCCAACUAGAAUGACACUAUACAGAUUUGGGAACACAUCAGCAAGUGGUUUAUGGUAUAUUUUGAGUUACAUGGAAGCUAAGAAGAGGUUGAAGAAAGGUGAUAAGAUUCUCGUGGUGGGCCUUGGAGCUGGGUUCAUGUGCAACAACUGCGUGUAGGAAGUAAUGAAGGAUGGUUUGGAGGAUACUAGGGUUUGGGAAGAUUGCUUGAUGAGUACCCUAGAAAAGACCUGGUCAAAUAUCCCUUCACUGAGAAGUAUAGUUGGACCAAUGAUGAGUGCUUGAACUUUGUCAGGAUUGACAACAGAAUGUAUUAUUAACAAUUUACUUUUUGAAUUAUACCCUUUCUUUUUAAUUUAUUUUGUUUUAAAUUAUCUCAAAAAGUGCUAAAGUGGGUGAUGCCACUGAAUCAGAAAAAUGUUUUGAAGUGUGAAAAUUAUUGGAACGAUUUGUGGGUUUUGGCCAUAGUAAACCAUGUGAGACCAUUGAAGCUAGUGAUCAGUUGCAAUUGUUUAACUCUUCCUUUCAAUUUCUAACUCUUUUACUCGUUUUCAUUUAGAAAAAUUAUUUGAUAUAGCCAUAAAAAUUGGCAUUAUAUCCAUUUAAUGUAUAAUAAAAAUGUAAAAAAAAAUAUAUAUAAACAAAAUUAAUAGAAAGUAAGUAAAAAAACAUGUGCAGUUAAAAUAUUUUAUUGAAAAUGUAUUAAAUAUUAACACUUUUGGUUACUAAUUUUUUUAUCGGUGAAAGAAUUUAUCAAGUCCUUCUAUUUUAAGGAUUAGAUUAAAUUAAUCUCUCUAUUAUUAAAUAGGAAAAAGGAUUGUAUGAAAUAGUGACGCCACGUCAUCUCUAUAUUUUUUUAAUAGUUUUAUGUCACCAUUUUCAUCCUGAAUUUCAGCAUUUUCAUCCUGAAAUAAAUCAAAUCCAAAUUAAAAUCUUGAAAUUCAGGAUAAAAUUACUAAUGUGGCAUAAAACUAUUGAAAAGGGAUAAUAUCCUUAUUUCAUACAAUCAUUUCUCUAUUAAAUAGAUCAAUUUAAUUUUUGUACUAUUAAAAAGAAUCAAAUAAGACCAAAUUAUAAUAGAGUUAACAUUUGUUGUUUAAAAAAUGACAUGGAAAUUAUUUUUUCUUUUGCAAUUCAACUACGAACAAAAAUUUCAUUUGCAAGAGGGUUGACUAAGAAAAUUCGAGAUACCAAAAACCAACCCAAAUUGAGAUAUUUGGACUAUUUAUAAAAUAUAAGUUAAAAAAUUAUGAUUGAACGAACCAAACCAAAUUCUAUUUAGUUUAUAAUUAAAUUAAUAUUUUAUGAUGUAAAAAUUAUUUUAUAUUUAAAAUAGUGAGAAUAAUUUAAAAUUUCUAUAUAGAAAAUAAUGUUUUUAAAAAUAUUAUAUAAAAUUUAUUAAUUUUUUUAGUUUAAGAGUUUUUGAGAUUUCUAUUCGCUUAAAAAAUUAUUAUUUUUUAGAAAUACUCAUAAUUUUUUGAAAACUUAUCAAUUAAUGUUAAAAAAUUAUAAAACAAAACUCAUUUUGUCAAAAUAUGUCAAAAAACCUAAAACUCAAAAAACUUGAUCGAACCAAACCAAACUCACAAUAGUUAAAAAGUCAAAAAAAAAAACCCUAAUUUGUGGAACCAUUAAAAAAAGUUCAAAAUAUUAACCAUGUUAAAAAGAAAUAUAUAAUUUUUUUGAACUACAAAAGUUAACUCCAUUAAAAUUUGACCUUAUUUUUUUUUCUUUUUAAUAAUAUAAUGACUAAAUUAACUCAUUUUAAUAGUAGAAGAGUUUAUUUGAUCAAAUCUCUAUAAUAGAGGAAGUUGGUAAAUACAUGGCUAAUAUAUUUGAAAAAGUCCUUAAACUAUUUUUGCACUUAAAUAAGCUACUAUCCUACCAUAAAAGUCAUUAAUUUUAAUAUUAAAGUAAAAUUAUUUUGAAUUUUUAAACUAAUUUACAUUUUAUGAUGAUGUGAUGUGAAUAUGAUGUGAAGAAUUUAUUAAAUAAAAAUAAAAUAAUAAUUUUGAAAGUAAAACAAAAUGUUAUUUUAAGUUUUUCUUGAAAAAACUUAUAUACAUAACACACUUAAUCAUUCUUUUGAAAAUUUUGAUAACUCUCUUAAAUUUUAUGUUGAUGUUAUAAUUGUCUAGGAUUUCUAUUAUAUCAACAAAAAAAUUAAGAUAAGAGCCUAAAAUUCAAAAUAAUUCAUUCGUAUGAACUUUUUUUUUUAUAAUUUCAUUAUAGAUUCUAAUCAUAUAUUCUCUUUUUGAUACAAUGCCUAGAACUACUCAUAGCCUCUUCCCAACCCUUAAGUUGGAGGAUAAUGCGCUUCAACACACUCAAACUCACGUUCUCCUAUACUGACAACAAUGUCUAUGCUAAUCGAACUAAGAUCUAAUCGACAAAAUCAUAGGAUAGGAAGUUAUUUAACUAUAAAAAAAUUGAAGAGCUUGUUUAAACAAAGUGAGAUACUUUAACAGGUUUUUUAAUAUAUUACCCUAAAUACAUUCAUAUUUUUUUUUUAUCUAUAACAUCUAAAAGAUAAUAUUCGAAUCUAGAAGAAAACAGUAGCAUUCAACUAAAAAAAUUAUGAAUCGCAUGUGUUCAUUUACCUGUAUUCUAUGCUUUAUCAGCACAUCUCAAUCUGGCUUGCAACUUUGGCUAGCUAGUUUCUAUUUUUGGUACAUUAAUUAUGACUGUCUAACUAUUUGACAAUAAAUAACAAUAACCCAGGGACAAUGUAUCCGUUCUAAAUUUUUUAGCAUUCAUGAGUUUAUUAACCAUGCUAUCAUGCACAUUCAUAAUAAUCAAGAAAACAGUAGGUCAUGAACUAAAUUUUCUAUCCCCUACCAUUUAAAUUACGGUUUCUAAUUAAUCUCAUCUAUAUUAAAUUAUGCACAUUUAAAGUUGUCCCUAACAUAAUUACAAAUUUCUGAAUACAGGAUGGUUGAUUUGGAGGCAGCUAAGCAAUAGUAAACAUUAUGAUUUAUGGGAUAUGGUGGGGAUUUGUUAUUAAGGUUUUUAAUUGGAUUAAAUUUAUCAAUUUCUUUGUUUAGAACUUAUCAGUUUCAAUGUUAAACUUCAUACUUUUAGGUUAUUGAAUUAAUUAAAAUUAGAUUAUUAGAUUAUAGUUUUAAUUAUUUUAUGAUGUGUUACUAUUGUGUCGGAUUUAUAUGUACAAUUUAUAAUUGUAACUUAAUUUCAGAAAUGAUAAAUUGUGUUAUUUCUUUGUUUUUAAAGUAAUUGAAGUUUAUUCAAUUUUUUACGUCUUAUUAAUAUGUUUUAUAUAGACUUUGACUUUUAGUAUUUUUAUAUUGUAUUUGUAUUAUUUUUAUGUGACAAGUUUUUAGUGCCUUAAAAUGUUGGUAGUAUUAGAGGCGAAGUCAAAAAAUAUUUUUAAGAGGGUCAAAAUUAAAUUAUAAUUUUUAAUAACUUAACUCUUUAUAAUUUUAAAAAAUUUAAAUUUAAAUUUUAUAUUUUAGAAAAAUAAAGUAAUAAUUUUUUAUUAAUUUAAAAUUUUAAAAUGAUUAAAAAGUCUAAAUGAAUAAUUUUUUAUUUUAAGAGAGAUUGAGCCCUACCAGCCCUCGUUAGGUACGCCGUCUCUGCUAUUAAACUUGAUGAGCCUAAAAAGACAUGUUGAGCCUGUAAAGGCAAUGUCAAGCUUGAAAAGGUGGAAAACUUUAGUUGCAGUGCACUUGAAAAAGGCUAGAAUGUGCACGAUCUUUAUCCUUGCGCGGAUCAAGUUAAAAUGUGUUGACUCAUUUAUCCACGAGUUACACAUGACACGAUAUUUAUCUUUGUAUGAUUCUUAAAAAUAUUAGUAAUUUUUUAUAAUAAUAUAUGUUUUACCUCUUGUGACUGAAAAUGUUAAAAUGUGCUCACUCAUUUACCGGUGAAAUAUACAUGGUACGAUAUUUAUCCUUGCAUAAAUUAAAAAUAUAUUAAUAUUUUUUUCAAUAAUAAAUAUUUAUCUCUAGACAGAAUAUAUAUACCUGAAAAGAUUAGAAUGCGUUCACUUAUUUAUUAAUGAGGUAUACAUGACAUAGCAUUUAUCUCUAGGUGACUCGGGAAAAUAUGAAUAAUUUUACCUUUCGUCAAAGUGUCUAAAUAGUAUUUGAAUUCAUACGGAUAAGUUACGGAACCAAAUAAAAAAUUGUGGGUUGACAAUUAGCUGUCUUUUAAGAGGCCAUGACUAGAAAUCUUGAAUGCUUGCGAGAAAAAAAAAAAAGAAAGAAAAUAUAUAUAUAUAGCUUAUACUAGGUAAAUGCACAACUGCUCGACGAGAGUGUACACAUACACCUCUCGGGGGUUUACGAAACCCCGUCAUGCUCCCAUUUUUUCUAUGGAAACUUCAUUGUUCACCAAGCUCCGACCACCACCGUCAGUUCUUAAAUGGGGUGAAUCAACCAACACCACCACAAUUUCUGCUUUGUUUGAUCUUUAAAUCAAUAAAGAGUUGGUUCCCAUUUUGCACAGUGUCUUUUAUCCAUAAAAUAACAUGAUAAGAAAAGUUGGAAAUUUUAGAUCUCAAGUUAAAUUUCAUUUAUGUUAUAAAUUUGUGGUUUGUUGUUCUUUAACCCAGAUGAUAAUUACUUCGUUUCUCUAAUAUUGAAAAAAAUACAUAUCACCACCAAAAUAAUCCAUAAAAAAAAAAACAGAGAGAAAUACAAUACAUUAUCGGUACAGGUUGUGGAUGCAAAUAGAGUAGAGAUUAUGUUUUGGAUUUAUGUUCAAGUCAUAUGUGGAUCAGCAACAUGUAUUGUUAGAAAUGGCCUUGCAUGGUCGAUGGGGAUCAAAUCAAAGAUUUCAUUGCUCGCUCUGUUUUCCUUGUGUUUUCAGCUUCAAUUUCUUUUGCCUGGAUUGUGCUGGAUAAUCUUGUCAAAUCUAUUCGAAUUAGAAAUUUGAGUUAUUGAACUCGAAGUCUUAAAAUUUGAUUCGAUAAAAAAUAAUAAUAAUUUGAAUUCAAACCCGAAUUCAUCCUAAGCUAAAUUGUUUAUUUACUUGAAUUAAUUUAAAAUAAUUUGAACUCGAACAUGUUAGAAUCUAAAAUACUUCGAAUCCAUAUAACUUGAUUUGCAAAAUCCAAACUCAAAACAAUUCAAACCUAAAAUGCCCCAAAAAUUUUAAAACUUUAAUUAAUUUGAUUCAAAUGCAUCCGACUCACCCAAUUGAAGACAAAUCUACUUGGAUCUACUAGUUUUUUUAAUGUACCUUAUCUAUGAAAGGCUUUAAAAUUGAAUAUGAAAUAUUACAUAUUGUUGAGUAUUUUUCUGUUGUAUCUCAUUGAAGGGGACAAUUAAAUAUUUAUACACAUGGUUACUGUUCAUGAAAUUGAUAUUCUUAGUAGGCUCUAUACAUGCUGGACACAUAUACUGUUUUGGUUUCUCUGAUGGACUUCGUGGCCUCACAUGCAAACUCUUUGGGUCUAUGCGAACUGAAAUUGCAGACUCCCUGUGCGAGCACUCCUCGGCAUAUGCGAAUUGAGACUGUGAACUCCCCUAGCUAAGCCCUCACUAUAAGGCCUGCACACAUCAUCUAGUAGAGCUCAGUCGGGUCACGGGUAGGCAACCCAAACUUUAUCUAAAUUUUAGGUUGGUAAUCAUAAAUACAUAACAAGUAGUUUUAUCCAUGAGUUUAGUCACCCACCCUAAUUGAGAUAGAUGUGAGCAUGACAUUUUUCAUUUUGGUCACGUCGAGGUUGAAUUAAAGAUUAAUGGCAAAAAUAUAUAAAGGUUAAUAAAAGAUUAUAUAUUUUUAAUAGUUUAUUAUUUUAUGAAUAACAAAAUGAGUUGUUGGGUCGAAUUGAAUUUUGCCUCAACUUAGAUUUUUUUUUCAAUUAGGCCCUAUUUUUCUUUUAAUCAGGCUCAAUCCAGCUAGCCCAUGCACAUGUCCACAACAUUUAAAGGAAAUAUGUGGAAUAGUUGGCAAAAUUUUCAUCCACUAUUAUUGAAUCAUUAACGACGGUUGACCCAUUGAAACAAGUAGUUUCUUUUGAAGUGUCUCCUUAAAAUUAAUUGAGUAUUAAUUUGUUGCUGCAUUAUUUGAAAUUUACGAGUUUGAAAUGUAUAAUGUUCCCUCAAUGAUUUGGGUAAUAUAUGGACAUAAUUUUAUUUAUUUAUUUAUGUUGCAAUCAUUACUAGAUAAGUGUGAAAUCGAACCAAAAAGAAAAUCCAAAAGUCGUUGAAAAUAAAUGUUAAUUGCAAGAUGCAACUUGAAAAACAGACUUAAAUUUCAAUGGAUGAAGCCGAUAACUUUAGGGAGUGCGGGGGUUGGGAUUUAAAAUUCAAUGAGAAGCUGAAAAGUUAGUUGAAAAAUAGGUGAUGGGAUACAUGUGUGGCGGCUUUGGUUAACCACUCAUUAAACUGUGACAUUUUAGUGCAUAAACCUCAGCCUGAACGUAUGAAUCCACAAUGCCUUGAGCACGAAGUAAUCUCUAUUUUCUUUCGUAUUUUAUUGAAACAAUGAACUUGUUUUUGGCUAUUUUACCAAAUUGACUCAAAAAAGUUUGAUAUUUAUAAAAAUGACUCAAGUUUAAAAAUAAUCACCAAAAUAAUUUGAAAUGAACAGUAAAAAGGGGUUUUGCCUGGUCAAUGGCCGGCACCACUUGAUAUUUUAGACCCAUGAUUACCUGAUGAUUGCGUCAGACUUUAAAAAAAUUAAAUUUUUUGGUUCUGACCUGUCAAUGACCGGCACCAGUAUAUUUUUUUAAAAUCGUAUCAUACUGGUAUACAAAAAUUUAAAAAAAAAACAAAAAAAAUUUUUAGUGCUGGCCUGUCAAUGGUCGGCACUAGUAUAUGAAAAAAAAAAUUUAGGCGCUGCCUUAUCAAUUGUCAGCACCAAUAUACGAAAAAAAAAUUUUGUGCUGGCCUGUCAAUGGUCGGCACCACCAGUACAAAAAAAUUUGUUUUGGGUGCUGGCCGGCACCAGCAGUACGAAAAAAAAUUUUAUGUGCUGGUCUAUCAAUGGCCGGCACCACCAGUAUGAAAAAAAAUUUUUUGGUGCUGCCCUGUCAAUGUCCGGUACCAGCAGUAUGAAAAAAAAAUUUUGGGUGCUAACCUGUGAAUGGCCGGCACCAAUUUAAAAAAAAAAUUGGUGUUGGCCUGUCAAUGACCGAGACCAAUAUACGAAAAAAAAUUUAGGUGCUAGACUUCUAAUGGUUGGCAUCAAACUUUAUAUAUAGUGGGUGGUUUGGGUUCUGAUAGUGUAAAUGGAAUGAGAAAAAAAAUUAAGAGAGUCAUCAAAAUGAGAGUGUUUUGUAGUAUAUCAUCAAAUGAGUUUUUUUGGAGUGGAUUGUAUAUGGAGUUUUUCGUAGUGUACAACUGAAUUUCGGGGUUGAAUUAUAUACUGUCAUAUUUUAAUGGAGUUGAAUUAUAUACUGUCAUAUUCACCCUAAAGGUUAUGACAUUAAGAGUUGGAUGAUUAUUUGCACCAUAUAUGGCUAAUCGAGUUGUCCAACGUAGAUGGACAUUAUCUAUGGUGCAAUAGUGUUUAUUCCACAACUAGGUUGUGGUUGGAACCGGUUGGUAGAGUCUCACAUGCAAAGGUAUCUCAUGGGAGAAUGGAAGAAGAAAAAGUCUAGAGCAGAAGACGAUUAAUUGUGAAGAAACUAGUAUCGAUGCAACGUAGACCUGAUUCAAGCAGAAGACGAUUAAUUGUGAAGAAACUAGUAUUAAAAAUAAUUGUAUUAUUUCUUAAGAAUGUUUGUAUUUUUUUAUAUCUGUAAAUUUAAUAUAGUUGUUUAGGAUUUAAGGUUUCAUUUUUAUAUUUUUGUGUAAUAAUUUCAUAGAAUGUUUGUAUUUUUUAUAUGUAAUUUAAUUUAAUCUGUAAUAUAUAAAGUUUGAAAAUUAAAUUUUCGUGUAUUAAUUUUACCCAUCUGUUUGUAGUUCAUUGGGUGUUUAAAUUUAAUAUAGUGCAUAUUAUUUUUGUUUGAAUUUUAUAUUUUUUGUAUUAAUAUUGUAGAAUGAUUGUAUUUUAUUGUGUACGUAAAUUUAAUUUGUCGUGUAGUAUUAGUUAUUUGAAUUAUUAUUUUUUAAAUAUUACGAAGUCAUUUAUUCAAACAGAUAAUUAUUUUAGAGAAAUUAAAUUAAUAUUAAAAAACAGAAAAAUUUAACAAUAAAAGAAAUAUUUAUAGAAUAAUUUUAAAAUAAAAUAAAAAUUAAUAGAAAAAAUUAAAAUUGUCGCGAUCCCGGGGACGUCCCCGGCGCUGGCGUGUAACAGUCCUGAUGCCUUCGUCGGCAAUGUCGUGCACCUUGCUGAGGCAUUUGAUAAUUGCUUGGUUUGGCAUCUGGUGUCCCGGCCGAUGUACUUAGAAAGGUAGAAUAAUCAUAUACACUAUAAUCGGGAGUUAAUUGGUAUUGCGUGACCGGAGGUACCGAUAGAAAAAUAUCCUCAGUGGUGGGUGUACAUGCUUCGAGAUGGAACUCCGGGUGGUAUGAGGAUGAUUCAAAUCAUGUCGAAUGUUGAGGCUCGAGGUCGUCACCAAAAAUAUCUUCGAACGAUGGAGGAAUUUCAUGCAGCGAAUCCGGAUCCAUGUUGUGUGAUGAUGAGCAGGAUGCUUCAUAUUAGGUGUCGAGAUCGGGGUUCGAGGUAGUAUCGAACUCGAUGUUCCCAAAUGGCGGAACUCGAUUUCUGCACGGUUGUGCGUUCCUUGGUUGCCAUCGAGAAGAUUUAGGUUGCGCGUCUCUUUGGAUCAACAUGUACUAACCUUGGAAUAUAAAGGGUUUUCCGUGUGCCAUAUACCAUGCUGUGUACUCAGGAGUGGAGAGAACCCUCCUUCUAAGACAUACAAGGGAGGGCGCCUCGAAUGUCGCUAAUUCCACAGAAAGAUAUACGGUUCAUUUUUUGCUCCCAAUUUAAAGCGUCUCGACUCGAACCCUUUUUAUCCAUUCCAUGUACUUCUUUGAUGUCGACGAAAGGGUUCGAGAUGGGUUGUGCACAACCGAACUGCCUCAAAACCCGAUCUCCAUCGUGCCACUCCACCAUAUGUAAAUGAAUUAACGGUACAUUUGACACGAACAACUAUUGCUACUCGAUAACCCAUGAUAGUAUGAGCGCCACGAUAUCUUCCUCAUUAUAUGGCAUCCAUAUAAACUGCAAAAUAAAGACAACACGUUAUUUUUUUCUUAUGCAAUUAUUGUAUUUAAAAAAGAAAUAUUCGAAAUCGUAUUUUACGCCAUCCCCGGAAUGAGUCUUUAUCAUCAUAUAGUACAUAGGUAUGGUGAACGAUCGCCCAAUUCCCGAUACAGUUGCCCAUCUAAAAAAGAAAAAUUAUCAAAUUAUUUUUCCCAUGCAAAAAAUAAGUAUAUUAUAGUAUAGUAUACAAUAAAAAAAAUAGAUGGCAAAAUUGAACUACAUAUUUACCUAUUAACGAGUGGCCAGACAUAUGGUUGGUGGCUCACUGAUGCCAGAAAUGACAUUCGGUAUAAUGCCCAAGACUGCAGUAGAAGGUAGCAACCGCCCAUUGUUUUCGUAGACGGCUUUGUCGCUCGACAAAGCUCACAGUAUAAGCAUGCCAACACUGCAGAGCCCCAACUAAAUCUUCCCGCAAGCUCGAGAUCCUCUAAUAAGGGGAGAUACAUUAUUGAGACUUUAUUUUGACUGACGUCCAACAAAAGUAUCCCACCUAUAAGUUGAAGAAUGAACGCUCUUGUAGUGUAGAUAAUGUUCAUCUGCGUUGGACUGCUCAGAAGAUGCUGGAAGUUUUCUUUUAACAAAGUAAAUUUAAUAUAUGUUAAUCAUCUUUCCUCGUUGUUCGGGGGCACCCUUUCAAGUAACCGCUUGGAAGUGCCCCACGGGUCGGGCACUCUUCCAAGCCCGGUCACUGCUUCGCCGUUUAUAGACAGCCCUAGUUGGACUGCUACAUCUUGCAGUGUAAUAUUUACCUCCCCACAUGAGAGGUGGAACGUAUGUGUCUCCGGGCGCCAUCUUUCAACUAAUGCCGAUAUUAAAUCAGCCUGCAGCUUAGAUAUCUUAAUGUACGCGGAUACCCCAAAACCCGCGACAUUCAAAUACGAUAUAACUCUUCGAUCGGGAAAAUAACUGGGAUCAUGCAAUCGGGGUCUCAUAAUUUUGUACAAAUUUUGUGUUUAUAGUAAAUAAAUAAUGUUAUAUUUCUCGUUUUAAAAAUAAUUUAAAAGAAUAUUUAAAAUUAAAUAAGAUAUUUUAUUUCUCGUUUACCUUAUGCACAUUACUUGCAAUAUGGUCAUUGUCAUUUAAAAGAACAUUCGGAUUAGGAUCCAUAAAGUGGUCGGCAGUUGUCAGCGGUGGUUGAGGGUGAACAGCGACGGUCGUCGGUGAUGGUUGAGGGUGAACCGCGGUGGUCAUUGGAGUUGCCUAUUUAUAGUAGGGGACCAUUUGGCUGAAGGGCAAAAUUGAAAAAAAAUUGCAAAAAAAAGGUGUAAGGCCGGCCAUUGGAAGGCCAAAUUGGCUAGUGACACAGAUCUGACGCAGAUGGGUCAUUUCAACCAUUUUUUUUCAUUCAAAAUUUAUUUUAAUUUCAUUACUUUUUAUUUUAGUUUCAUUUAAGUUUUCCUAAUAUUAGGGUAAUUUAAUAUUUUUCAUCUAUUUUUUAAACUUUUUUAAAAUUUUACUUUUGUCAAUUUAAAUUUAAAAUUUUUCUAAAAAAAAGCUAAUUUCAUUUUUGGGGGGUUUUUAGGCCUGACACCCCAUUUAGAUAAAUUAAAUUUGUUAAAAUAAAUCUAAUUUCAUUUUUUUUCAUUUAAUAUUUUAUUUAAAUAUAUUCAUUUAUUUAUUAUUUUUGUUAAUUUAAAAUUUAAAUUUAUUAAAAAAUAUCAUCUAAUUUCAUUUUUUUUGUUUUUUUAGCUUGACACCACAUUUAUUAAGCUUGAUAACCGAUAUUUCAAUUUUGAAGGCCAAAAAUAUGAAAAAAAAUGUGUAAGGCCACCAUUGGAAGGCCAAAUUAGCCAGUGACACACGCCUGACACAGGCUUGAUGCAGAUGGGUCAUUAACUUUUUUUUUUUUCGUUUCAUUUCAUUUUAUUCUAAUUUCAUUUCCAUUACCAUUUCCCUUUCAUUUCAUUUAAAAUAUAUUUUUUUCAAUUUCAAUUUAUUUUUUUCUCAAUUCAUUUAUAUUAUUUUUUAAUUUAAAUUUAAAUUUUUCUGCACUUCAUUUAAAUUUUCUAUUUUCAAUGCAAAUUUAUUUUUAUCUUAUUUCAUUUUAUAUUGAAUUUUCUAUUUUCAAUUCAAAUUUUUUCUCCUCAUUUAAAUUAAAAUUUUCCCUCAUUUCAUUUAAAUUUAAUUUACUUUCAACUUUUUUCUCAUUACAUUUAAAUUAUCUAAUUUUUUAAAUAUUUACAAUAUUUUUAUAAGAACAUGCUCUCAAUAAUAUAUCACACGCCAUCUUGGAGUCCAGCAUUACGAGACGAUUGACCGGAAAUGUAGACAUGAUGUAGGCAUGUUGAUCGGUUGUGUCUGGAUGUUCAGCACACAGUGCACAAUUUGGGUUCACGCGUCUCCCUAACAUCCAUGUCAUUUCGAAUUCUCGUCGAUUGUGGUCGACCUUUAGGAUGUCUGUGGAGACUACGGUCAGGCACCAUCUCGAUAGCAUGCAGUGGAACUUCCUAGUUUGAGACAUCGGGCAUUACAGGAAAUUUGUUCCCCCAUAUACUUAAUAUGCGUUGCAACGUGUAGAUCUCGUCUAUGAAUUGUUCAACAUUUAAGUUUCCUGUCGCACACACUGCAUGAACAUGCGCACACGGAUAUCAAAGAGUUUGAAAUAUCCCGCACUUGCAUCGCCUGUUUCGCAGAUCAACUGUGUACGACCUAGGUAGAAGACCCGAAUGACGGCCGAUGUACUCCUGAACUUGGAAAGUCUCCAAGUCGCUCGAAUACAUUUCUGUGUUCAUUGUUUGUGUAACAGCCCAAUUUCAAAUCUAAUCAGACAUAGUGGUUUCGGGACCACAAGUCUGAGUCAAAAAAUAUUUUAAUAUUAUUUUGUGUGUUUAUUUUGUGUGCAUUUGAUUGUGUGAAAUUUUCGUGUUUUAAUUUUGUUGUUUGAGUGUCCGAUUAAAUAAAAGGAUUAAAUCGCGUAAAAUAAAAAUUUAAUGGUUAAAUAUGAAAGUGUCUAUUUGUUGUUGUCUUUAUAAUUUAGAGGAUUUAAGAAGCAAUUAGUCCACCAUUAAGUGAGUGGGUGGCAAUGGUCAAGAAUGACCUUAUAAUAUGUGUUAUACAUUAUAUUUUAACAAAGGUUAAUUAAGUAAAUUAAUUAUUAUGGUUAUUAUAUGUUAAAUAUAACAAAUUUAAAACAUGUUCUUCAUCUUUUUCUACCGAAACUAAGAGAGAAAAUAAGGGUUUAAAGCUUUGGAAAAAUUUGGCACUUUCAAGCUUGGAUUAAGGUAUGAAUUUUGUUCGGUUUUUGAUAAUUUUUAUGUUUUUGAGAUCGUUGCUUCGAGUACUAUCCGACCCAUGCUUGAAUUUUUUUAUUUUGAUGAAUAUUUUGAGCUAUGCCAUUGAUGAAUAAUUGUGUUUUGUGAUGUUUGAUAAUGAAUAAUGAAAGAUAUGUUUUAGAUUAAUAUGUUUUGUAUUGGAAUUUUUGGUGAAAUUGAGUAAUUAGGGUUAAAUUGCAAAAAUAAUAUUUUUAGAGACUAAAAUGUGAAAUAAAUGAAAUGUGUGAAAUUGUAUGAAGACAAGGAACAUUCGGCCCUAGCUUACUGUGGGCAAAUUUUGUGUAUUUUGUGUUUUGUGCAAAAAGGACUAAAUUGAAAAAAAUGUAAAAUGUUAGGGGCAAAAUGGUAAUUUUCCCAUUUAUGUAUUUUUGGACUUAAUUGAAUGUUUUGAUGAAUUAAAAAGGUUAAAUUUGAUUAUGUUUAGAUCAAGAAACGAAGAAAACGGAUUUGGAUCAGGGAAAAACGAAAGUAAUCGAAUAGUCGAUCGUGUCCGCUGAUAUCCGAGGUAAGUCUAUUAGCAAUUAAAAGUUAUUAAGUUAAUAUUUAUACAUGUAUACUAAUUGUAUUUUGUGUUGAGCUAUAAUUAAAAGUAUAUUGAUUGAAUAAAUUUUGAAGUAUGGACGAUAUUUACAUAUAUAGCAUGUUCGAAUAUACAAGUAUAAUCUUGUAUAGAUUUAUGGGUUGAAAUAAAGGUAAGAAAUGUAUAAGAGUAUAGUUGAUAUUCGAAUAAGCAUGUAUAUAUAUAUAUAUAUGUAUAUAUAUAAUGCUAGAGUAUAUAUAUAUAUAUAUAUAUAUAUAUAUAUAUAAAAGUUAUUGAAAUUAGUUAAAGUAUGAAUGUUGCAUAGGUAUAAAUUCUUGAUUUUAAUCAAAGGAAUGUAUAAUAUAUAUAUAUAUGGUGCGAAUAUAUAUAUAUAUAUAUAUGUAUAAACUCUUGGAUUUAUUUAAAGUUAUGUAACCCAUGAUUGUAUGAGAAAUUUCGAAUAGAUAUGUAUAUGUGAAUUGUAAAUUAUAUGUAUAUGCUAUAUUUGAAUAAGCAUGCUUACAUAUAUGUAUAUGUUCUGGUAAUGAAUUUUAAGUAUGAGUGUUAUAUAUAUCUGCAUAAAUGAAGUUCGAAUAUGUACAUAUAUAUAUAUAUAUAUAUAUAUAUAUAUAAAUGUACAUCUAUUGUAUAUUUGAUGAGCUAAAAUUAAAAGUAUAUGUAUUGAAAAUUAGUUGAGUAUGAAUGAUAUAUAUAUGCAUAAGUGUGAGGUUCGACUAUAUAGUUAUAUAUAUAUAUAUAUAUGUACAGGUAUAAUUUCUUGUAUUGAAAUUAGGUAUGGAAUUAUAUAUUGACAUACAUGGUUGAAUGUAUAUGUAUAUAUAUGUUUAAGAUUUGCAUUGAAUUAAAAGUAUAAAUUUUAAAUGCUUGUAUGAUUUGAACAUGGACUACAAAUUUUCUUAGGAUAGAGUUGAGAUUGUGAAUUAUAUAUAAAUGUUAUGAAUGUGUGUUGCUAUUAAGAAAUAUACGAGAAAUCAUCCUUGUAUCUGUGAAAUUGAGAUUUUCAGGCUAAGCGCCUAGCAGGCUUAAUGCCGGUGAAUUUUUUAGACUUUAAGUCUAGCAGGCUAAUUGCCGGUGAUCUGAAUCAGGUUAUAAACCUAGCAGGCUACGUGCCGGUGAUCUGAAUCAGGUUAUAAACCUAGUAGGCUACGUGCCGGUGAUCUGACUCAGGCUAUAAGUCUAGCAGGUUAUGUGUCGUUGAAUAUGUUUAAAUUAAGUGAUUGUAUACAAUGAAUAUAUAUGUAUAUGAUUUGGUUAUUUGUAUUGGAUUAAUAUAUGAACAUCUGUUGCUAUGUUUUUGAUGAGCAUAUAAAAGCUCGAAUCGUUGUGUCUGGUGAGUAUAUAUAUCUAUGCGUUCGGCAUAUGUGAAUUAAGGUGUAUAUAUAUAUGUGUGUGUGCAUUCGGCACAUGUGAUUGAUAAGUAUAAUUAUUUGCUUUUAACAUAUGUAUAUGAAAGAUCGUAAACAUGCAUUCAAUGAAAUGCAAUGAUAAGUAUAUUUGGAAUUUAUAUUUGCGAUUAAUGAUUAUGUAUAUAACUUGAUUUUUAGGUAUAUAAUGAUAAUACAAAUGAUCGUUUAUAUGUAUUUUGGAUAUGCUAUAAACUUACUGAGCUAUAGAAGCUUACUUUGAUUGUUUUUGUUUAUUUGUUUAUAGAUUUUGGAGACGCGUUACGAGCUCGGGGAUCGUCAGCAUAGUCUAUCACACUAUCGACUUCUUUUGGUAUUUUGUUAACAGUUUGAACUUGAUCUUAUGGCAUGUAUAGGUUUGAGUAUGAUUUUGGUUAGAUUUCAAUUGUAUAAUAUAAUUAGCCAUGUGAAUAUGGUUUAAUUUCUAUUUUUGUGAUCAGUUUGGUUUUUAAAUAAAAAAAUGGUUGUGUUUGUUCGGUAAUGCCUCGUAACCCUAAUUUGGCGACGGAUAUGGGUUAGGGGUGUUACAGUUUGUGCCCUUCGACUAUUUACCGCCAUAGCCUUUCGAAUGGCCUCUACAUACACGUGCCCGACCUCGAUCUGCUUAGCUUGUCUCAACCCCAUCUUAGGCAUCAAUGUCGCCAACUUAUAGAAUGUUGCCGAGAAUACAACAAAAAUCGGGAGAUGGCGUGUGUGCCUAAAUACAGAGUUGACCGCCUUUACCAGGUUAGUCGUCAUUUGCCCAUACCGAAACCCCUCAUCGUAACUUUGAGUCCAUUGCCAGUUCUCUAUGCUGCCAACCAUGUCCAGAGAUUUGUUGGUAAAGAUGACAUUUGAGAUUCAAGCCUUACGAACCUCUGCCUGAAUCUUCUCAGUUCUAACUCAUGGGUUGCAUAUUUAAUUUGAAAUCACCAAUUUAAAAAAGACAAAAAAUUUGAAAAGUAAUUUUUGAAAUAAAUACAAACAAUUUUUUUUACGCAUGUUCACGAGUUCUUUUUUCCAAUCUUUAUUCUUAUAAUCUCUAUGAAAGUUUGCCGCGAUGUGUCAGAUGCAAUAAAUAGACCUCCACGGAACCCCCUAUCGCCUUAUUGCAGCAAGUAAUCCUUUCGAUAUUUCAGAUAUAAGGCAAAUGUUGUCUUUUCUGACAACGUGCCUCCGCAGAUUUAUGAGGAAAAAUUCCUAAGACUCGAAGCACUCACGCUCCAUGAUGGUGAAAGUAAUCGGAAGUAUAUUUCGAUUGUCGUCUUGUGCAACAGCAAUAAGGAGGAUUUACGUGUAUUUUCCAUACAACCAUGUCCCGUCCACCUGCACCAUCGGCUUGCACUGAGGGAAGACCCUAACACACGACUUGAACGUCCAAAGCAAUCAGUGAAAAACUCGUUUCCCCGGUUGUAUCUCCCCAUUAGGGCCUUUAUACGACAGUGUUUGUAAAUCAGUCACUGUCCCCGGUACAUACUUCUGCAUCCCAUCUAUCCACCCUUGAAGCUCGUUGUAUGACGCAUCUCAGUCACCAUAAAACUCUCGCAUUGCCAUUUGCUUUGCUCACCAUGCCUUUCGGUACGACACUUUGUACUUGAAUCGAACUUGUAUAUCCGCAAUAAGGACCGACACUUGAAUGGUGGGUGACUCUUUCACCAAAGGGAUGAUGCAGUUGCAUAUGGCUUUUGCAUCUAACCAUGGUCUUACGACAUACGAGCGGACGUGCAUGUGUGUGGACCUUCUAGUUUCCUUAUCACCCACAUCUGUGUCCGCUACAUUAACGUGGCUCGGACACGCCAUUUACAACCACUCGAUGCUUUUCAACAUUCUCCUAUAUACAAAGACUGCGUCGACUUCGUUACUUUAUAAUCCACACCUAACUUCAAGCUAAGUCGUUUUAUAACAUGUAAACAGUCUUUUUUGUUAUCAAAUUGUUGUCCUACAAACAAUUCUUUUUCGUCGAAUUCAUUGUAAACUAGGUGAGCUACACAAAAUUUGUAUAUUCUGGGAACUCGCGUGCAAGAAUCGCAUCAGGAUCCACGUCGGUCAUGAAGGACCCUGGAUUAUUUCUUAUAACUAUACCAGGGCCCAUGUUUCCGGCUAAAUGGGGGUUCCCAUUUUCACCCUCUACCGGCCCUUCUUCAUCUAUGUCUUCAGGGAUGUCAUCCAAAUUGAGGUCACUAAAAUCAUCGUUGAGAUCACGGUGGGACUAAUCAUCAUUAUCAGACCCUUCAUCACUAUCUUCUAUGGUGGCCAACACUUUUGGAUGGAUCUCUAGACGAGGAGACGAGCUUGGGGUGUUAUACGAACAUCUAUCGGUGUUUGGAUUUUUGGAAGUUGGCGUUGACCGUCCAAAACCCGACUGAUCUUCCCAAGAGACGUUAAGAUCAAAAUCAAUUCCGAAACGUUGGCUUGCUGGAAUUACCACUUGAAUGGGAUCCGGUUCAGCUGUCUCCGUGAACAACUCAACUGAGCUGGGAAUUUCUAUCUCAAGAGGGUAAUAAAUUACUAUCAUUGUCCCUAAAUCAUCAUCUUCAAGCUCCAUAUCUGAGAACUUUAGCGGAUCAGUUGAAACAAAAAAUUUGUAAAAUAGUCUCAACAUUUGCUUUCCGCAAUGGGUUGCUAUCUUUGUACUGAUUUUUCGUUUUAAAUCUGACAGCGAAAUUCGUUUGUUGAAUCUCAUUCAUAUUUUUUUCGGCUUCUAAAUACACAGCCUUCUUCAGUUGUAUUUAUCAUUUAUCCAUCGAAAUGAACAUAAACAAACAACAUUUAGGAACUCAUUUUAAAAAAAUUUUGCUUUCUUCUAAACAAAGGAAAAAAAAUUGAAAUCAAACAAAAUGGAAGAUAAAAUACAUAUAUAUAUUUGAUAAAUUUGGUGCCGACCAUUGAUAGGCCAACACCAAAAAAUUUUUUUCAUACACUAGUGCCGGUCAUUAACAGGCCAGCACCUAAAAUUUUUUUUCGUCUAUUGGUGCCGGCCUAAAAAAAAUUUCUUUUUCGUACUGCUGGUGCUAUCCAUUGACAGUCUAACACUCAAAUUUUUUUUCGUAUACUGUGUAGGCCAUUGACAGGACAACACCCAAAAUUCUUUUUCGUAUACUGGUGCCGGCCAUUGACAGGCCAGCACCCCAAAAAUUUUUUUCGUACUGUUGGUGCCGGCCAUUAACAGGCCAGCACCCAAAAUUUUUUUUCGUACUGUUGGUGCCGGCCAUUGACAGGCCAGCACCUAUAAAAUUUUUUUUUUCAUACUGCUGGUGUGGGCCAUUGACAAGCCAGCAUGCAAAAUUUUUUUUUCGUCUGGUGGUGCCGACCAUUGACAGGCCAGCACCCAAAAUUUUUUUUCGUAUACUGAUGCAGGCCAUUAACAAGGCCAACACCCAAUUUUUUUUGUUUUUUUUAAAAUUUUUGUAUUCCAGUAUGAUACUAUUUUAAAAAAAUACAUUGAUGCCGGCCAUUGACAGGCCAGAACCAAAAAAUUCAAUUUUUUAAAGUUUGGCACAAUCAUCAGGCAAUCAUGGGUCCAAAAUACCAGGUGGUGCCGGUCAUUGACAAUCAAGUCUUUUAAUAACAGUUGACUGCAUAUCUUUUCAUGGAAAAGCAGACUUAUCCAUGAGUUUAGUGACCCACUCUAAUUGAGAUAGAUGUGAGCAUGACAUUUUUCAUUUUGGUCAAGUACGUUUGGCUUGAAUUAAAGAUUAAUGACAAAAAUAUAAUAGGGUUAAUAAAAGAUUAUAUAUUUUUAAUAGUUUAUUAUUUUAUGAAUAGAAAAUGAGUUGCUGGGUCGAAUUGAAUUUUGCCUCAAUUUAGAUUUUUUUUUUCAAUUAGGCCCUAAUUGUUGUUUUUAAUCAGGCUCAAUCUAGCUAGCCCAUGCACACGUCCACAACAUUUAAAGGAAAUAUGUGGAAUAGUUGGCAAAAUUUUCAUCCACUAUUAUUGAAUCAUCAACCACGGUUGAUCCAUUGAAACAAGUAGUUUCUUUUGAAGUGUCUCCUUAAAAUUAAUUGAGUAGUAAUUUGUUGCUGCAUUAUUCGAAAUUUACGAGUUUGAAAUGUAUAAUGUUCCCUCAAUGAUUUGGGUAAUAUAUGGACAUAAAUUUUUUUAUUUAUUUAUGUUGCAAUCAUUACUAGAUAAGUGUGAAAUCGAACCAAAAAGAAAAUCCAAAAGUCGUUGAAAAUAAAUGUUAAUUGCAAGAUGCAACUUGAAAAACAGACUUAAAUUUCAAUGGAUGAAACCGAAAACUUUAGGGAGUGCGGGGGCUGGGAUUUAAAAUUCAAUGAGAAGCUGAAAAGUUAUAUGAAAAAUAGGUGAUGGGAUACAUGUGUGGCGGCUUUGGUUAACCACUCAUUAAACUGUGACUUUUUAGUGCAUAAACCUCAGCCUGAACGUAUGAAUCCACAAUGCCUUGAGCAUGAAGUAAUCUCUAUUUUCUUUCGUAUUUUAUUGAAACAAUGAUUUUGUUUUCCUUAAUAAUCUGGGAAUACUAUACAGCAAUUAGUCAAAUCAAGUCUUUAUUAACAGUUGACUGAAUAUCUUUUCAUGGAAAAGCAGUGGAAAUUAGGCAAAGAACUGUCACAUGAUCUAGUUGAGUAGUCAUAAGUGACGUCUUCAAACAGAAACGAAAGGAAGGGAAUUCGUUAAAAAGCAAGUAUAAUUCAAAGGCGAAAAUAAUGACUAGAGGUGCUCAUGGGCCGGGUCGGGCUGGAUUCGGGCCGGGCUCAGAAAAAAUUUCAGUCCGGGUCCGGCCCGGCCCGAAAUAUGAGCUUAGAAUUUUGUCCAGGCCCGGCCGGAGAAAAAAUUCAUAAGCCCGGGCCCGACCCGGCCCGGCCCGGCCUAUUUUUUAAAUAAAUAUCAAAAAUUUAUUUUAAAAAUAAAAACAAAAAUUAAAAAAAAUUUUAAAAAAAUUUUAAAAUUAAAAAAAAUUAAAAAAGUAUUUUAAAAAAUUUAAAAAUUUAAAAAAUUUUAAAAUUAAAAAAAUUAAAAAAAAUAAAAAUAUUUAUUAUAUUCGGGCCCGGGCCAAAAAAGUAGUGCCCGAGGCCCGGCCCGUUUUUUAAUCGGGCCUCAUUUUUUUGCCCAAGCCCAUAUUUUGGGCUUAUAUUUUUACCCAAACCCUCCCAUAUUUCGGCCGGGCCGGGCCGGGCCGGGCCGGGCCGCCCGGCCAUGAGCACCUCUAAUAAUGACAAAAUGAACAAUAUGGCUAUGGGUUUGCGUACGUUGAUGGCACUGCAAGCACUGUUUUUGUGUGUUUAAAAUCAAACAAAGCGUGAUCGUCAUUAAAUGUGUGUUGGCCAAGCAACUGUCCUCUAUAAUCAUUUCCAACCAUUUAUAUAUAUGAAUAUAUCCAAAACUAUCUCUACGAAGCAUUGAAUUGUUAUCAACUAAUCAAUAACCUAUAUUGGUAUGGAUGAAUAUUGAAGAUUUCGGAUAUUGGAAACACAACCACAACACAAUAAUCUCAAACUAACUAAUGACUAUAUUUUAUGUCGUAAAAGUAUCGUGAAGAUUUUUGUAUUUAGAAUUUAAUUGUAUUUUGUUCUUUUUAUUAAAAGGAAGGUUCUAUUUGUUUGAUAAGUACACUUUCUUUUUUUCUUUUUACAUUAUUGGUAAAAUUUUAAUUUUGGUUCAUCUAUUUUUUAUAUUAUAUAAAAAGGGUUAAAUUUUAAUUCAAUCCCUAUACUAUAUUCAAAUUUGAGAUUUAAUUUUUAUAAAUUAAUUUUAACAUAAUUUGACUCAUCAACAUUUAUAAUAUCAUUAGUUAAUCUAACUAUUUUAUUCUAAAUGCUAACAUAAAUUUUAAUAAUUUUUAAAAUCAUUAAAUAUUUUUGUUAAAUUUAUGUCUAUUACAAAGUUAUUUUUUUCUCACAUGAUUAUCGAGUGAGUACUUUUUAAAUUCUAGAAUGUCACGCCAAUAAAAUUAAUAUAAGAAUUUUAACAAUAUUAACAACUGGACUUGAAUUUUUAAUUUCUAAAAAUAGAGAGGCUAAAUUCUUAAAAAUAAAAAUACAAUAAUUAAAUUUCAAAUAUACAAAGCGUUUAAAUAGUUGAAGCAUAUUAUAAAAUUUUAAUUUUAAUUAUUUAAUUCAAAAAUAAUUAAGACAACACAAAACUGGAGAAGAAAAAAUCAAUUAAGUUCAUCUAUUAAAUUCAUACCCAAUUAAGCUAUUGUCGUUAAUUAAAAUAAUUAAUUAAAUCUCUCCAUUAAGAGUGUCUGUCAUUGACAAUGUUGACCGUUAAAAUAAAUUGACGGACUAAUCAAACGGUUCCAUAUGGUAGCUUUUGGUUUAAUCUAUUAUUUUUCUCAUACAAAAUGAUUAAAAAAUCAUAAAAUCAUUAAAAAAAGAGAAAAUAUUAAAAAUAUUAAAAUUGAUAUAUUAAAAAUAUUAAAAUUGAUAUAAACUUAUUAAAAUUAUAAAAAUAUAAAAACUAAUGAAUAUUAUAAAAUAUAACAAACUAAUAAAUUAUAAAAGGAAAUUUAUAAAAUUAAUAAAGUUUAUUUAAAAUAUUAAGUUAAAAAAAACAUAUCAGAAUUCUUUUUUGGUAUAAUGCUUAGAACUACCCAUAGCACCUCUUCAACCCAUAAAUAGAAGAUAAUGCGCUUCAAUGCAUUCGAACCCAUAUCCUACUACAUUGACAACAAUGCCCAUGCCAAUCGAACUAAGACUCAAUCGACUCGUAUUAGAAUCCUUUAAAAAUAAUAAAAAAUGUUAAAAUUUAUUAAAAAAUAUUUAAAAUGAUAUAAAGUUAUAAAAAUUAUAAAAUAAAUCAUAAAAACUUGAACUAGAUCGGUUAUCCCUAAAUCGACAAGGGUACUGGUAUGAGGAAAGCCAUUAGACCGGUUGACCUAGGAACUGGGUAGUUAAAUUAAUUUUUAUUUUUAAUUCUUUUAUCAAACCAAAAUUUCAUUAUCCAACUAUUAGCAUAUGUCAAAAUGAAAUAUUCUAACCAAGGUUUUUAGUACUAGACCGGUGGUCAAACCGGUCUGGCCAUCAGUUUUUCAGUUCAGUUUAUCUGUCUAGUUCAAUUAAAUAAAAAAUUAAAAAAAUAAAAAAGAAUAAAAAAAUUGGUUCAACCAUUUGGUUCCUAGGUCAAUCGAUCUAAUGACUUUCUCCAGACUGAUACCCUUGCCAAUUUUGAUCUAAUUGGUCCAAUUGACUAAUUCAAUCCAGUUCAAUUUUUUUAUGAUUUUUUUUAUAAUUUUUGUAAGUUUAUAUCAAUUUUAAUACUUUUUAUGAUUUUUAUAGAAUUAUAAUAUGUUUUUAUAAAAAUUUUAAAUAUGUUUUAUUAAUUUCAUAAAAUUUUUAUAAUUUUAUAUCAACUUUCAUAUAUUUUUAAUAUUUAAUAAUUUUAUAUCUCUUGAUUAUUUUUAUGAUUAUUUUUAUAAUUUUUAUGAUAAUUUUAUGAUUUUUUAAUUAUUUUAUGGAAAAAUAUGGGAUCAACUAUAGGCUGCCACGUGCCACCAUCCGAUUGAUUUGUCAAUAUAUUUUAACGAUCAAUAUGGUCAAUGACGGAAACUAUUAACAACAGAACUUAAUUGAUUAUUUUAAUUAAUGAUAGAGGUUUAAUUGGAUGUGAAUUUAAUAUAGGGAUUUAAUUGAUGAUUUUACACUUUUUAAGAGUUUUUUUUUUCACGUAUAUAUAUAUAUAUAUUUAGGAAAUAAAUAGCUAAACAAUAUGGGUGCAUAAAACAAUUAAUUAAUGUUGAUCAAUUUUUCUUUCAUCUCAUAAAAGACAUUGAUGUGAACAAGUUUAUAUCCGAAAAAGUCCACAUUAACAGGUAAUGUGAGAUUUAAAGACGUCUCUUACUUUUUAUGGGAUUGAUUGUGACAAUGAUAUUAUUAGGUGCAAUUUAAUAAAGUGUUGAGCAAGUUGGGAAAAAAUAUUGGAAGGGUUAAAAUACCUUCUUAGCCCUUGUACUUCUGCAAAAUUAGAAAUUUAAAAUCUCUACAUUUAAAAAGUUAAAAAAUUUGUUUAAUACCUUAGUCUAAUCAUUAGUAUCAUAAGUAUUUUCAAUCAAAAUUUGUUUAACUUAGCAUGUUGGUUAGGUUACUAUCAUAUAAUUUGGUAUAUGAUUGACGGAAAAUAAUCAUGUUAAGUUGACAUUUUUUUACAGAAACUAUUAAUGAUGUUAAAUAAUUAGAGUAAGGUUCUAAAUUGGAAAAGUAAUAGAAUUUAUUUUUUAACUUUUAUAAGGAUUAGAUCUAAAAUUUGUAAAGGUAUAUAAAAAAAAAACUUGUUUCAACCAAACCAAAAUAAAGUCAAAUUGACAAGAUUUCGAGUAAUUAAUCCAAUCAAUUCAAUAGAUAAGUUGAAUCAAAAAUAAAUUUUUUUAAGGAUCUUACAAGUAUAUUAGUAAGUACUUGAACGAUUGCCUCAAUCAAAUUAGUAUAAAACAUAGUGGAUUGAAAUUUAAAAUAUAUUUUAGAUAGAGUUACACGUUGUAGGAUUUAAAUUCAAAAUAAAUUAAGGUGAGAAAUUAUUGUAACACCUCAUUACUUGACUUGAUUGCCAGGUCUGAGUUACAAUGUGUCACAUUCGUUAUCAGAACAAUUACGGUUAAAGUACAUUUAUUUUCAAACCGUUAAACAUAUAAAUGUAACUAAAACAAGUGUAUCAAACGAUACAUAAUCAUUUAAGGGUCUUAUACGAGCUUAAGAAAGAUCUUUUACUAACCCAAACUUGAAAUAGGACCAAAAAAUAAGGAUUCUAAAAUUUUGGGUUGACGUUGCGACGCUGAGGGUUUCUUGUCACGAUGCAACUCUCUAUUUGGUGCUCAUCAUGACCUUGAAGCAACGACAUCACCACAAGGACUUUGCUCUAUUUCUCGUCGCGACAUCAGUGAUUCGUCGUCAUAAUGUGACUCAUUGUUACCAAAAGGGACUAAUUUGAAACAAGUUUUAAAGACCUCUAUUAACAUGAAUAAUCUCAAUCACAAUCAAACAACACAUUUACAAUUGCAUAGGAGACAAAACAUACCAAAACGAUACUUCAAAAUUACAUUACACGGCUAAGUUCCAAGUUUGACCAUUUUUGAUACAAAACCGGCGUGAACCUAGGUAAAUGCCUUACAAUAUAAAUGGUACUUUAAAAACUUUGUUGAGUCAGAAAAGGUCAUCUGGAUGUUGACUUCAAUUCCUGAGACUUUGAGAAAACAAAUUAUACAUUUAGCAAUAGACUCAGUGGUACAUUUGUAAUUCAAGACAUAAAUAUAUGAUCUAACAUUAACAAGGAGCUUUAGCACUAACCAAGCAUCAUGUACUCAACAUUUAAUAAAAACAUAUAUCUAAUGGUCAAUUAUAGUUCAAUAUCCAUCUAUACAUACAUAUGCAUAGCAACAUAUCAUUAACCAACCUAUUUAACAAUAUUCAUACAUGUUCGAUUUCCAACUUGAUAUCUGAUGAUCAAUCAUACAAUACAAUUAAGAAUUAAACACAAAUAUUUAUAUAACCAUGCUAUUCAAUUCAAUUCUGGAGUCUACCGACUCAUCCAUAUUUGUUUUGGCCCCCAUGCCUCGUUUCGGUGAAUUUACAAGUUGGAUGACAAACUUGUUUUCAAAAUACAAACCAUAUUCGAUUAUACUAUUAAUUUCAUAACAUUACUAAUUCCAUUUUCAACAUUAUAGUCAUACUUAUCGUUUAUAACCCUUAUUAAUCGGACUCGGAAUGGGACGGAUACUCGAAUCAUCCAACCAACGCACUAGACUGGCACCGAAGUGCAUUAUCAUAUAAGUUGAAAUAAAGGAAUCUGGCACAUAAAGUGCAUACUGGUGCUCAAAGCGCAUACUAGCACAUGAAGUGCAUUCUAGCGCGUAAGUGCAUAAACUCGUACAUAAUCCAAUCCUAUGGCUUGCCAACUAUAAAUGUACCAUUGAGUCUAUUGCUUAGCAUACAGUUUGGCUUAUUCAAGCUCCCAUAACCUCAAAUAUAUAAAAAUUACAAGAAAAGACCUUGAUUGCACUUACAAUUUUAUAGUCGAAAUCUUUAGGGCACAAAAAUGAUGGUUUCUCUUUUGUUUUUCUUCUUUGGCCGGUUGGAGAAGAUGAAUAUUUCAUCUCUUCUUCCACCAAUUCUAUUUAUAUUAUUAUUUUUACUUUAAUUAAACUAGUUUAAUUAAGUUAAGCCUUACUUAUUUAACCUUAAUCAUUAAUUAAGUUAAGUAAAUGGCAUCAUCCAUCACCUCCCACUAACAUAUAUUUAAAAUAGGUAUAUUUUCUAUUUUAGUCCUUUGGUUAAUUGCUAUUUAAGUCCCCCAAACCUUAAUCUAAUUAAAAAUAUAUAGUGAUUAAACUUUUACAAUUUAGUCAUUGAGCCUUAAUUUCUCACAAUUUUGGCUAAAUUACUUAACCAAAUUUUAAUUCAUUAAUACACUAACACCGUAAAUAUCCCUAUUUAACAUUUACGAAUUUGAUUUACGGAAAUGAGAUUCUGAAACUGCCUUUUUCGACAUCACUGAAAACCGGGUCAUUACAAAUACAUAGUUCAUACAUAAUAGAGCUUAAAUCUAAAACAUCAAAUUUUCAAUUUUAUCAUUUUAGCCAAAACUUCAUCUAGAAAAUUAAAACAAAAUUUAAAUAUUAAAUAUAAUACUUAACAAAAAAAAAUUAGAUUUUGUCACACCCAUGAUGUCAAUGGAAGAAAAUAUUUUAAAAUUUUUUUCUUUAAAGAUGAUUUGAAGUUUGGAAUGACAAAAACGUCAUCAUAAGAAUAUUAAUUAUAAUUGAAAGUAAGAGGUAUUUCUAUAAUUUCAUAAUUGAUUUAGUGAUUUGAUUAAGAGUGACAUCAACACAGUAAAAUAUUUAAAUAUUAGUAUUAGAUAAGUAUUUCGCUAAGUGAUAUGGUUACAACUAAUUAUAUGAAUCAUAUCACAUCACACUACACUAAAAUAGACUUUUCAUGACGUUUUAAAUAUGUCACGGAAACAACACCAAGAUGUCACUAAAAAGAUUUUGAAUUUUCAUGAUGUUUUUGACAAGACGUAAAAAAACAUCACGCAUUAACUGUAGAGAAAGUAUUUGUGAUGUUUUCACAACACUUCUCCUUUCGAGACAAUGGUAAACGUCACGAAAAGUCACAAAACGUAAUGAAAAACUACAUAUUUCCUUACAUUUCAAAAUGUCACGUUGACUAAUGAAAAUGUAACUAUAGGUUUGUUUAUAUAGUAAACCGCCAUGGAAAUUAGGGUGAAACAUCAUAAAAAGUUUCCAUUUUGUGACUUUUCGUUACGUCCCUAAGGGUCACAAAAAAUUGAGAGAAACUAACAUAAUUUUGUCUAUUUGUGACAUUUAAAAUAUGUCACCAAAAUUUUCAAACAAAAAGUUUUUUUUUUCUUGUCAAAGGUAAUUAUAGUGACAAAAGUGUCUUGAAAACUGUUACUUUCCGUGACACUUAUAUUUUAUAAUGUAAAUAAAACAAUGAAAUGAGCACAAAUACAUGAAGUCCACCUUACAAAAAUUAAAAUCAAGUACUAAGGUUCAAAUACUAAAACAUAAAUCCAAAAUAAAAAUGGAAAUUUUAGUUGAAAUUAAGAUAAAAUCAUGCAUAUGAUCAUGAAGAUUGAAGGGUAAAAUCAUGAAAACUAUUGACCAGAUUGCAAUCUAGAGUCGCGUCAGUAACUCAAAACAUUAGAUUGAUGAGAAGAGUGAUCAUCAACGUGUUGUGAUGGUAGAAGGGUAAUUGUUCUUGAUGGCAUUUGUGUAGUCAACUCCGUAACCUUGGCUUGGAGAUCACAAAACUUUCACCCACAAAAUUGGUGGAGGGGGAAGUCUCAUUUGUGUAAUCAACUCCUAAAAUCAAUUUUUAUUAGUAUUUAUUAUGACCAAGAUAUCCUUCAUGUCAAUUUUAUGGUUCAUGAAAACUAAUCUUUUCGGAAAAAAAAUUAUUAUUAACAAUCAUAAUUAUAGUACAAACAAAAAUACAGAUAUGAGUAAUCAUAACAUAUAAUUAAACUAAUACAGGCACAACGGAUGGAGAAUCAGAAAGAAUUGAGCAAUAUCCAUCCAUGGGCAUACACACAUGUUGGGACUAGAGAUCCACACAUUGUGAACAUGAGCGCUUAACAAUCUAAGAUCUUUGCCUUAAUCAACAAUACGAAGGUAUUAUUGGCCAUAUAUAUAUUGAUUUAACUAAUUCACAAAUAUCUUGUUCUAAGCAGGGGGUCUUAGGUUAAGUUAUAUAUUUUUAUGAGAGUUAAAAUGUCAUUUUACCUUUGUAUUGACUUAUUUCUUUACGGUUUUUGAAAGAACUAAAUAAAAAUUUAGCAUUUUUUAGGGGUCACACAAUAAUUUUACCAUAUAUUAUGAUUUUAUGAAUUUGGGGUCUAAUUUAGAGUUCUAAAGCAUAAAUUCUUUUUUUUCCUUGGGAGGGCAUAACCUGGGUGCCCUAUCCUUUCCCACUUGGUUCUAAAAUACAUAUUGAACCACCGAUUAAAUCUUAAUUCAAUUGGCAUUGUUGCUAUUGCAACAAUUAAGAGUACGUGGUUUUGAGUGAAUUUAAGUGUCUUUUUCCUCCUAUUUAAAGGUAAAAAGUACUAUGGAUAGAAAUAUGAUUUAUAUUAAAAAAAAUUACAUAGGACCAAGGUGUUUAUGUUUAAAUUGAACUGGUUUUCCCAGCCAGGUCAGAUUGGGAUAUCGUUUUCUUUUUAAUAUAAAUAGACAUAUAUCCAAUCCACAAAGAGUAUACCAACUAGUACAUUUCUCUCAAUUUCUUUGAAGAGAAGUUUCACAUUUCUUGAUUUUAUACAUAAACAUCCCAUCUCCAUCACAUUCUCAAGCCUUUUCAAUGGAGUUUUUAACGAAAAUAUGUCUCCUUUUCCUUUGUGGCCUCAUUUCUCACUUUGUUAACAUGUUUUUCCAGAAGAGAGAUGAGCAAUGCUAUAUGUUGGGUUAUGAAUGUUUCAAGGCUUCCGAUGACAGGAGGCUCGACACUGAUGCGUGCGUGAAAGUUGUGUUGAGGAACAAGAAUCUUGGUCUGGACCAAUACAGGUUUCUUUUAAAAACCAUUGUUAGUUCUGGUCUUGGUGAAGAAACUUAUGGUCCAAGGAAUGUUAUUGAUGGUAGAGAAGAGUUUCCUUCGGAAAACGAUGCACAUGCCGAGAUGGAUGAGAUCAUGUUCAGCACUCUAGACACUCUGUUCGAGAAAACAGGAGUUUCCCCGUCGGAAAUCGACAUACUCGUCGUCGAUGUCUCGUUGUUUUCACCUGCACCGUCGUUAACAUCCCGGAUUAUAAACAGGUACAAGAUGAGGGACAACAUUAAGUCCUUCAGUCUCUCCGGAAUGGGAUGUAGUGCAAGCAUGGUUGCAAUCGAUAUGGUGCAGCAGUUGUUCAAGACAUACAAGAACCAGUUCGCCAUCGUUGUGAGCACCGAAUCAAUCGCUAGGCAUUGGUACUGCGGCAAAGAGAAGUCAAUGAUGUUAUCGAAUUGCCUGUUCCGUAACGGAGGGUGUUCAAUCCUCUUAACAAACAAAAGGGACUUGAAGGAUCGAUGCUUGUUGAAGUUGAAGUGUGCCGUAAGAACCAAUAUCGGUUACGAUGACGAAGCAUACGGAUGUUGCAUACAGGUUGAAGAUCCACAAGGUUACCAAGGUUUCCUCCUUACUAAAAGCUUAACAAAAGCCGCUGCUAAAGCUUUUACAGGGAAUCUCAAGCUCCUAUUGCCCAAAAUAUUACCAGUUUGGGAACUGCUUCGAUAUGCAAUAUCAACUCUCGGGAAAAAAUCAACCAAAGGCCAAAAUUUAAGUUUCAAUUUAAAUCUCAAGUCUGGGGUUGACCAUUUUUGUCUCCAUCCAGGUGGAAGGGCAGUGAUUGAUGGGCUUGGGAAGAGUUUGGGACUUAGUGAAUAUGACUUAGAGCCAACUAGAAUGGCACUAUACAGAUUUGGGAACACAUCAGCAGGUGGUUUAUGGUAUGUUUUGAGUUACAUGGAAGCUAAGAAGAGGUUGAAGAAAGGUGAUAAGAUUUUCAUGGUGAGCCUUGGAGCUGGGUUCAUGUGCAACAACUGUGUGUGGGAGGUAAUGAAGGAUGGUUUGGAAGAUACUAGGGUUUGGGAAGGUUGCAUUGAUGAGUACCCUAGAAAAAACCUGGUCAAUCCCUUCACUGAGAAGUAUAGUUGGAUCAAUGAUGAGUGCUUGAACUUUGUCAGGCUUGACGAUCAGUUCAAUUAAGGAAAUUGCAGUUCAUGUUUUUCUUUAAGGAAUUUUAAGCAAGUUGCAAUUAUUUGUGUGGAUAU
rnacentral:lncRNA from 1 species